GACGAACACGGCGGCGUGCCUAAUACAUGCAAGUCGAGCGAAGUUUUUUUGGUGCUUGCACCGGAAAAACUUAGCGGCGAACGGGUGAGUAACACGUAAAGAACCUGCCUCAUAGACUGGGACAACUAUUGGAAACGAUAGCUAAUACCGGAUAACAGCAUUAACUGCAUGGUUGAUGUUUAAAAGUUGGUUAUGCUAACACUAUGAGAUGGCUUUGCGGUGCAUUAGCUAGUUGGUGGGGUAAAGGCCUACCAAGGCGACGAUGCAUAGCCGACCUGAGAGGGUGAUCGGCCACACUGGGACUGAGACACGGCCCAGACUCCUACGGGAGGCAGCAGUAGGGAAUCUUCCGCAAUGGGCGAAAGCCUGACGGAGCAACGCCGCGUGAGUGAAGAAGGAUUUCGGUUCGUAAAGCUCUGUUGUUAGGGAAGAAUGAUUAUGUAGUAACUAUACAUAGUAGAGACGGACCUAACCAA
rnacentral:rRNA from 1 species